UACAGAGACUGCAAGCGUUAUUCGGAUUCACUGGGCGUAGAGGGUGCGCAGGCGGCCAAGUGUGUGAGGCGUGAAAGCCCGGGGCUUAACCCCGGAAUUGCACCUCAAACUACAUGGCUAGAGCAUUGGAGAGGGUAGCAGAAUUCACGGUGUAGCAGUGAAAUGCGUAGAUAUCGUGAGGAAUACCAGAGGCGAAGGCGGCUACCUGGACAAUUGCUGACGCUCAGGCACGAAAGCGUGGGGAGCAAAAGGG
rnacentral:rRNA from 1 species